GUACACUCCUGCGGGAGGCAGCAGUGGGGAAUUUUGGACAAUGGGCGAAAGCCUGAUCCAGCAAUGCCGCGUGAGUGAAGAAGGCCUUCGGGUUGUAAAGCUCUUUUGUCAGGGAAGAAACGGUGAGAGCUAAUAUCUUUUGCUAAUGACGGUACCUGAAGAAUAAGCACCGGCUAACUACGUGCCAGCAGCCGCGGUAAUACGUAGGGUGCAAGCGUUAAUCGGAAUUACUGGGCGUAAAGCGUGCGCAGGCGGUUUUGUAAGUCUGAUGUGAAAUCCCCGGGCUCAACCUGGGAAUUGCAUUGGAGACUGCAAGGCUAGAAUCUGGCAGAGGGGGGUAGAAUUCCACGUGUAGCAGUGAAAUGCGUAGAUAUGUGGAGGAACACCGAUGGCGAAGGCAGCCCCCUGGGUCAAGAUUGACGCUCAUGCACGAAAGCGUGGGGAGCAAACAGGAUUAGAAACCCCGGUAGUCCCAUGAU
rnacentral:rRNA from 1 species